GCGAGCAGACGUGUGUCGUGAUAUGUUAUAUUAUUUGUUAAUAUAUAAGUUUUAAUUGUAUUAAUUGUGUUCGCGUCAUAUCAGCAAACCCGAACACAAAAGUUAACACGAAGAUUAACCGAAGAACCAUCGAAGGGAAAGGGUAUCGACCGUAGCGCCGAACGGGAACCAGCGAACGGAUACUUAAGUAUACGCCGCGCUGCCCCGAUGCGUAGUGUCCGUGCUCUUCGCGCAGCCGAACGAUCCAUCCCGAACGAUCGCUCUCAGGCGCUCACGGCUCGUCAACUGCAGUAAGAGCGGCUUACUGCAGAGAGAGCACGCGAGCAGCUGGCUGUAUUCUUUCAUCUAACAGUACCUCUUACUUCUAUGACCACCUACCCGACACUUCGAUGUGAUAUGACCCGGUCAACAAUGAAAUGAAAUGAAAUGAAACAAUCAUUCUCCAGGAUGCUUGGUCCCUGGCUGCCGCCUCCCAUCCAUGUAGACACCCGAUCUCCGUCAGGUUUCGCUUCACCUGAUCCAGCCAUUGAGUUCAAACACGUCUAAAGCGUUUUCCGCUCGGAUGGCCCAGGACUCGUCAAUAAGUUGUAGACUCGCCCGCACCCGCGUCAAUGCUGGCGGAAAAAACACGCAGCCUCGGCUCAACAUGGACUCCAUAAGGGACAAUAUUGUCCAACAGGAAUGCAAAGCCGCUGUUAGCUCCCGAACUAGUCGCGUAACGAUAUAGAAUCUUCUUUCUCAUAGGAGUCAAAAAAUGUUGAAUCGCCGAGUUUCGCUUUGGGUGGAAACUUUACUGUGUCGCGGUUUUUGAACACCUUUAAAAAGUUCACCUUUAAAACUAUUCAUGCUCGCUGUCGUGAUGCUACUGGUGCAAUCGCAAUGGCGAGGAACCCGAUUCCUGAUCUUGAGGUCAUUCGCCUUCCCUGUACCCGAACCCGUUACAGUGCUCUCUAUAGGUGAGAGUGUGGAAUCUCUCGCGAUCGCAAGUGCUGAAUGUUUGGCUGUCAGCCCCGGUGACAGUUCUCUAUUUGUUUACGACUCGCAGCAACAGCCGCUUUAGACGAGUCUCUACUACCACAAAACAGAUAUGAAACUACGAGCGAGAGGUGAAACGUUCUAAGCACAAAAAUAAUUAACUGUGCAAGAAACAUACAACCCACACACAUGUAUAGGUCUAUUCGUUCCGAAUUGAAAUAAUUGCGUUUGUUAUUCAACCAUAUUUUGAUUGCGCUUUAUCGUUGCUAUCAAUAAAACUCAUGCUGAAGAAACUAUGA